ACGGGAGACGACUACGGUAGGGGCCGACCAUGGCUCAGAGAACGUCCAUGAUAUCUUUUGAGGCGGUUUGCAGGCCCGCCAGUGAUAAAUUAUCAGUUAUUCUACGAAUUUCUUGAAUUUUGAGUUUUAUUGUAGAUU
ensembl:ncRNA C08F8.13 ncRNA